rnacentral:lncRNA from 1 species
GAGGCGGAGACACGUACGUCUGGUACUAGCUAGAUGAUAGUGACGUCAACUAUACGGGUUGAUCAAUCUACGAAUUUUGCUGAAAUACAUAUCCAAGAAAAAUGAGGAAAUAUAAACUGGUGGCAGGCAGGAAGAAAAUUCGGCACAUGACAUAGUUCGGCAUAUACGUGCAAAAGAGUAUGCAAAGAGUACACGCAUCAACCGGUGAGAAGGCGGCCAGUGUGAUCUAGGCUAGGGAUGAUGCAGGUUGGAACAUUCUGAGAUCAUAUUUAUUUGCUGAUUAAGAUAAUUAAUUGCUUUAUAGACAAGAGAAAAAAAAUCUCAAUUUAACUCGAUCUAGCCCAC